rnacentral:rRNA from 1 species
AUUGAACGCUGGCGGCAUGCCUAAUACAUGCAAGUCGAGCGGAGUGGCGGACGGGUGAGUAAUGCACAGGAAGCUGCCCUGUAGAGGGGGAUAACGUCCCGACAGGGGAGCUAAUCCCGCAUACUACUUGAUGAGACUAGGUCGGAUUAGCUCGUUGGUGGGGUAAAGGCGUACCAAGGCGACGAUCCGUAACAGGUCUGAGAGGAUGAUCAGUCACACUGGAACUGAGACACGGUCCAGACUCCUACGGGAGGCAGCAGUGGGGAAUAUUGGACAAUGGGCGAAAGCCUGAUCCAGCCAUGCCGCGUGAGUGAUGAAGGUCUUCGGAUUGUAAAGCACUUUAAGUAGGGAAGCGGUACCUACAGAAUAAGCACCGGCUAACUACGUGCCAGCAGCCGCGGUAAUUC